GAAAAUCAAGAAAAUGUAGAAAAUAGUAUGAACGACAUCAGCAUUUUAUACAGAGAAAUUAAUAAAUUAAAUACUACAGAAGAUAUAAAAUUAAAUAUAUUACAAAAUGAAAAUAAAUAUUUAAAGUCUAAAAUAGAAGUAAUAAAAUUUUUUUAUUCUAAUCAAAUAAAAAGCUAUCGAGAAGCACUUCUAUACAUCCUAGGAUGGGAUAUACAAAUUGAACAAAACAAUGAAGACAUUUUUUUUAUUUUUACUUCUUUAUUUUCAACACAUGAUGGAAAGUUUGUUUUUAUUAAAAAUAAAUGUACCAACGAAAAAAGGUCAUAUACAAAUCAGAACGAAAAUUAUGAAAAGUUAAAAAAAAUGAAAUACGAAAAUGGAGACGACGACAUCUUGAUAUUUUCUAAUAAUGUAUCGUACAUGGAUAUUAAGCAAGAAAGUAAAGAUAAUAAUGAGCAUAAAGAGACUGAGGGUUUACAUGAAUCUGUCGUAGAACCUACACAGUCGAACCUACGUCACGAACAAAUCAAUGGAAUUUAUAACGAAUCCAGUUUUUAUGACGGAUUAAUUUCGGAAAAAAAUCAUAUUAAUACAAACACAUUGCUCGAAAAAACGAAUUUCGAAAACACAAACAUAAACAUGUCAACAAUAAUGAAAGGUUGUAAGUAUAACUUAUUAUUGCAUGGUUAUUAUAGUAUUAAAUGGAAUCAAAAUAUAGAGUGGAAAAAUUAUGUUAACAAAAUAAAUACUUAUCCUAUUUUGCUUUCUUUAUCAUGUAUAGAAGAAUAUAAUAGCAUAAAGUCACAGUAUAAUAAUAGCCUAAGUAAAAACUGUAAAGGUAUGUUAUUUAAAAUAUGAUUUGAAGUAAGGUUUUUUAUAUUACUCUUGGCUGCUUAUAUGGAGACGUAUACACACGUACUUACGUGCACACCUUAUUGAAGAAUAGUACCAAUUUAUUUUUGUUUGACUUUGCCUGACAUUGUUUGACUUUGCUUGACUUUGCUUGACUUUGCUUGACUUUGCUUGACUUUGCUUGACUUUGCUUGACUUUGCUUGACUUUGCUUGACUUUGC
rnacentral:lncRNA from 1 species